AUUGAACGCUAGCGGCAUGCCUUACACAUGCAAGUCGAACGGCAGCACGGGGGCAACCCUGGUGGCGAGUGGCGAACGGGUGAGUAAUGCAUCGGAACGUGCCCAUCGGAUGGGGGAUAACUGCGCGAAAGCGUUGCUAAUACCGCAUACGACCUACGGGUGAAAGCAGGGGACCGCAAGGCCUUGCGUCGAUGGAGCGGCCGAUGUCGGAUUAGCUAGUUGGUGGGGUAAAGGCUCACCAAGGCGACGAUCCGUAGCUGGUCUGAGAGGACGACCAGCCACACUGGGACUGAGACACGGCCCAGACUCCUACGGGAGGCAGCAGUGGGGAAUAUUGGACAAUGGGGGCAACCCUGAUCCAGCAAUGCCGCGUGUGUGAAGAAGGCCUUCGGGUUGUAAAGCACUUUUAUCGGGAACGAAACACCGUGGGUUAAUACCCUGCGGGACUGACGGUACCCGAGGAAUAAGCACCGGCUAACUACGUG
rnacentral:rRNA from 1 species